CUACGGGUCGCUGCAGUGAGGAAUAUUGCACAAUGGGGGGAACCCUGAUGCAGCAACGCCGCGUGGAGGAUGACGCAUUUCGGUGUGUAAACUCCUUUUAUAUGUCAAGAAAAUGACAGUAGCGUAUGAAUAAGCACCGGCUAACUCCGUGCCAGCAGCCGCGGUAAUACGGAGGGUGCAAGCGUUACUCGGAAUCACUGGGCGUAAAGGACGCGUAGGCGGGUUGGAAAGUCAGGUGUGAAAUCCUACAGCUUAACUGUAGAACUGCACUUGAAGCUUCUAAUCUAGAGUAUGGGAGGGGGAGAUGGAAUUAGUGGUGUAGGGGUAAAAUCCGUAGAUAUCACUAGGAAUACCUAAAGCGAAGGCGAUCUCCUGGAACAUUACUGACGCUAAGGCGUGAAAGCGUGGGGAGCAAACAGGAUUAGAUACCCCUGUAGUC
rnacentral:rRNA from 1 species